rnacentral:rRNA from 1 species
GUAGGUGAACCUGCGGAAGGAUCAUUGAAUCUAUCAAACCACACCUGUGAACCAUCUUGUUGGCCAUCUGUACGCCUUCGGGUGUACAGAUUGGGCUGUGUCCGAUUAAUUUUGGAUGUAGUCCAGGCGUCAGCUCCUGCCUCUGGCUGGAGCCGGCUUCGGCCCUUACUAACCAACCAACACCAAACCAAAUACUAAUACAAAUCGAAUGCAUGGCUAAGAGCUGUGAAUUCACAACAAAGACAACUCUCAACAACGGAUAUCUUGGCUCUCAGAUCGAUGAAGAACGCAGCGAAAUGCGAUACGUAGUGUGAAUUGCAGAAAUACGUGAAUCAUCGAAUCUUUGAACGCAAAUUGCGCUCGAGGCUUCGGCCAAGAGCAUGUCUGCCUCAGCGUCGGGUAAAAACUCACCCUACUAUCCCUAGGGAUUCUAGUGUGGACCUGACCGUCUCAGCAUGAGCAAUCAUGCUGGGUUGGUUGAAGUGCAGCUGCUGAUACAUGGACCCGCUAACGGGCCUCUACUGGGUAGGCAAUCUUUUGCUACAUGCUUUAGUAGACGGCUUAGGAUCCUUGUGUAUUGGCACAAAGCAGGAAUACUGGCUUGUCCGGUACUCAUCCUUUUUCUCGACCUGAGCUCAGGCAAGAUUACCCGCUGAACUUAA